GACGAACGCUGGCGGCGUGCCUAAUACAUGCAAGUAGAACGCUGAAGGAGGAGCCUGCUUCUCUGGAUGAGUUGCGAACGGGUGAGUAACGCGUAGGUAACCUGCCUGGUAGCGGGGGAUAACUAUUGGAAACGAUAGCUAAUACCGCAUAAUAUUGACUAUUGCAUGAUAGUCAGUUGAAAGGUGCAACUGCACCACUACCAGAUGGACCUGCGUUGUAUUAGCUAGUUGGUGGGGUAACGGCUCACCAAGGCGACGAUACAUAGCCGACCUGAGAGGGUGAUCGGCCACACUGGGACUGGGACACGGCCCAGACUCCUACGGGAGGCAGCAGUAGGGAAUCUUCGGCAAUGGACGGAAGUCUGACCGAGCAACGCCGCGUGAGUGAAGAAGGUUGUCGGAUCGUAAAGCUCUGUUGUAAGAGAAGAACGAGUGUGAGAGUGGAAAGCUCACACUGUGACGGUAUCUUACCAGAAAGGGACGGCUAACUACGUG
rnacentral:rRNA from 1 species